rnacentral:rRNA from 1 species
UUCUGGCUCAGGACGAACGCUGGCGGCGUGCUUCAUACAUGCAAGUCGAACGAUAAGGUCUCUUCGGAGAUACAUAAGUGGCGGACGGGUGAGUAAAAUGUAGAGAAUCUGCCCUAGAGCGGGGGAUAACAGAGGGAAACUUCUGCUAAUACCCCAUAUGCGCGUAGUUGAGAUACUAUUCGUGAAAACUCCGGUGCUCUAGGAUGAGUCUGCAUCUGAUUAGCUAGUUGGCGGUGUAAUGGACCACCAAGGCGACGAUCAGUAGCUGGUUUGAGAGGAUGAUCAGCCACAAUGGGACUGAGACACGGCCCAUACUCCUACGGGAGGCAGCAGUAGGGAAUUUUGCGCAAUGGGGGAAACCCUGACGCAGCAACGCCGCGUGACCGAUGAAGCCCUUCGGGGUGUAAAGGUCUGUCAGUGGGGACGAAACUUGACGGUACCCACAGAGGAAGCAUCGGCUAACUCCGUGCCAGCAGCCGC